rnacentral:lncRNA from 1 species
UAAACACAUUAUAAAAUAUAUCACACCUUAUUGUAAUAUAUUUAUUAAUUUUUUGCAUUUUAAUUAUAUACAUAUACUUAACAUCAUUUGUACCAUGUGGAGGUCAUUACUAGAUAAAAUAAUUAGUAUAAAAUUAGAAAAUGAAAAUAUAUCCAGAAUCAAUAAUCAAAGAGUUGUUUUUUUAAGUUUUAAAAAUUUUGAAAAUUUUGUAUUAAAAAAGAAAAAUGUCAAAAAAACAUCAUCUUAUUUGAGUAAGUUAAUGGAUGAUAAAAAAAAAGAGAAAAAGAAAAAGAAGGCGGGAGGUAAAGCUAGUGGUGCGACUACAACAGCUACUACUAUCGUUAAUGACAGUGGUGGUGUCUUGUGUAAAAAAAGUGUAACAACUGCAUCGGAUAAUAUACAAAACGUUAAUAAAGAAACUAAACAAAUAACGCAUAAAAAAAAGGACGGUAGUACUAGUAAUAAAAAAAAAAAAAAGGAGACAGCGAUGGUGGAUGUUGCAAAGGGAGUGGACGAAGUAGAUAUAACGGAAGAAUCGAAUAAGGAUAAAGAAAAGAAUAAGCUGGAUGAUAAAAGGAAAAAGGCUUUUAGUAGGUCUAGUUCUAUUGGUGGUCAAUCGAAUAAGAGUAGUAGUAGAAAGGUAAGCAAGGGAGUUAGUAUGGAAAAUCGUGCACAUAUUAUAGACGCAGAAGUAUCGAGUAAAAUUAUAAAAACGGAAGAGAAUGACAAUGAAAAAAGAGAAAAGGAAAUAAACAAUGAUAAUGGUUAUAACAAUACGGUUUCUUUGUUUGUUAAUGAACAUGGAAAAGUUAAAAAUUUUAUAGCUUCCAAUAAUGCUAUUGAUAAUAAAAAAAAAGAAGAAAAUGCAAAGGAUAAAAAAUACAUAAAAAGUAGUAGUUCGUUAAAAUAUGAAAAUAAUAAUAAUAAUAAUGAUGAUGAUGAUGGUGGUGGUUAUUAUGAUGAUAUAAGUAAAGAAGAAAUAAAGAAGCAUUUUGAAAAAUAUAAUAAUACAUUGCAAAAAAUAAUAAGUUUAAAUAAUGAUGAAAAUAUAUAUUUAAGUUUAAGUUUAGAAGUAGAAAGUGUUUAUAGUAUUAACAUUAGAAACAAUAUAAUAAAAUUAUUAACGGAGUGUCAAAUUGAGGAGAAUGUAUAUGCAUUUAUUGAAACGUUUUAUAUUAUAUCUGUACUAAUACAUUAUAGUACCCAUAUUUUAGAAGAUUUUUGUGACGCAGAAUUCUUAAUGAAAUUCAAUAGUCUUUUUUAUAAGGGUGCGCGUAUUAAUGGAAAUGGUGUUUAUGACGUUAGCGUUUAUGAUAAUAGUGGUCAAAACAGCAGCAGUAAUAACAUCAUCAGUAGUAGCAACAACAAUAGCAACAGUAACAACAACAGCAACAGUAACAGCAAUAAUGCAUUUGUCAUAUACUAUUUGUUCACGCUAUACUCAUUUCUUCCUUUGUGUAUAUAUGAUGGCUGCGUACUGGAUGAAUACGAGAAAAAAAAAAAAAAAGACGCUAACGAUGUUGUACUAUUUUUCGAGCAUGACGAAAGUGAAAAGACUGAAAAGUUAAACAUUGAUAAAAUAAAAGAAACGAAAGGACCACUAAAAAAAACAGACGUCUUAGGAUAUGCAAUACAAAACGAACAGAGCGUAGCAGCAUCAUAUGAGGCAUCAAAAUAUGUAAUGUACAAAUUUCCUAUAAGUGUAAAAGAUUAUAAACUCAAUUUUUAUAAAAGUAAAUUUCAUUAUUUGUUAGCACUUGUAAAAAUAAUAAUUCCCAAAAUUUUUAUUAUAUAUGAAGAAACAUUACAUUAUGAUAUUAAGUAUUUAUGUGUUGUUAUAGCUUUGUCUAUGUUUAUUUCGUUAUAUAAGAUAUCAGCUUCUUGUUAUAAAAAUGAGAAAUUUAUACAUUGUUUAGAGUAUAUAUUUUGUUAUUUUAAAGAUUUAUACAAAUUCAUACGAAAUAUUUUAUUAAACAACUUAUCCGAAUCGUCUUUUAUUAGUGGCUUGAUUAUGAGUAAAAUAAUAGAACAUUUUAUUUGUUUGAUAUUAAAUGAAGAUGUUUAUAUAAGUUUGAAGGAAAAGCUGAAUUUAGGUGCUAUUAAUAAUACGACUGUUUCUGGUUGCGUUAGUGAUGUUAGUAAAAAUGGAUUGUUUUUAUUUAAUAACAAAAAGGAUUAUAUUGGUGUAGGGUAUAACGAGUUAGUAGGGUAUAAGAUAAUGAAUUGUUUAAAUGUAUUUAAAAAUAUAAUAAAUAAAAUGGUAAUAAAGAAAAAGGAAGAGCUUUGUAAUUUAAAAAUGGGUAAUAGUUGUAAUAAGGAUAAAGAGUUAUAUAACAUUAUUUUUUCUUAUUUUUAUGACAUGGUUAUGCAUAGUUCUGGUCAGGCCAUAUAUAUGAAGUGUGCACAUAAGGAUGAAAGUAUUGGUAGGUUUAGUAUUGAUCAAUAUGAUAUCCACAUGUGUGAUAAUACAAACAUAAGAAGCACUUACAUGAACAACAUCUACGACGCUACAAAGUCAAACAUGAUAUUUUUCAACCAUGAAAAAGAAAUGAAAAAUAUUUUUUUAGAUUUUUGUGCUAUAUUUUUAAACUAUGAAACUUUGGAAAAAUAUAGAGAUAUAAAUGAAUUUAUUGGUUUGUCAGUAAAGCAUUUGAUACUUGACGAACGCAGUUGUUAUAACAACAUGGUGUUAUGCUAUUAUUAUUUGAUAAAGUUGUUUUAUAAUUUACUAAGAAUGGAUGAUGUAUCAUCUAUUUAUUUUUAUCAUUAUAAUAUAGCUAAGAGGUUGUAUUUUUUUCUGUUUCAAAAAAUAUGUUAUAAUAAAAAUGAUUCUAAGGAUGUAAAAAUUAAGAGUUUUAAAAAAAACGGAAGUGUGAAACAACAACAUGAAAAUGGCAAUCAUAUAUUUUUAUACGAUAAUAAAAAAAAAUUUUAAAAAAAAAAAAAAAAAAAAAAAAAAUUAUUAAGUUUAUUAAAAACGACUGAUAGGAAUAUAAGGUUGUACAUAUUUUUGUAUGCAUUAUUGUUAGUAAAUAAUGAGAAAAAAAUGAAUAUAAUAUACAGUUUAUUUUUUAAUAGUAUAAAAAUGUUAUAUACUAUGCUUUAUCCAUUGCUUGAUAGAAAUGUAGGAAGCAUUAGUGAAACUGAGCUAGAAAAGAUGGAAUUAACAAUAACAAAAGUUUUUGAUUUGUAUCAUUCAUAUUUAUUUUGUAAUAAUUUAUCAUUUCAAAAUUAUUUAUUUUUGGUUAAGCUUACUAAAGAUUGUUUGAAUAUGCAUGAUAAGUUUGAAGUUUCUUUUUUUGACUUAAAUGUUGAAAAAGUAAAAACGGAAGAUGAUACAAGUGGUGUUUUAAAUGUGAAAAAUGGUGUAGUAAAAAUAGACGAACAAGACAAAAAUAGAAAAAAUAAAAAUAGAAAAAGCAAUUCACCAAUGAGUAAAUUUAAUGCAGAUUUCCCAUUAUUAACAAACAUUAACAAUAGUAAUUUUGCAUUUUCAAAAAAUAGAAGAGUUACAGAUAGUAACUUGCAUAGAAAAAGAAAAGAAAAAAAUAUAAAAGUAAAAAAAAGCUCGGCUAAUGAUGUUAGCGCUAGUUGUGUUUCCAAGUGUGACAAUGGUAACAGUAGUAGUAGUAUUAAUAUAACAAAUGAUGGAACAAGCAAUAUAUUAAACAUUCAUAAUAACAGUGGUAUUAACGUAAGUGAACGCGAUCAUGGUGAUUGUUGGAAUGCAAACAAUAUUAUAGAAAAGAAAAUGGACGCUUGUAUUUAUAAUGAAGAGCAAAAAGAGGAAGAAUUAGUAAAUAGACUAAUGAUAAAUUAUGGAACCGAACUAGGCGAUGAAUAUACAAGCGAGCAUAACAAACAUGGAUUAGAAUAUAAGAAAACAAGUAAAGUUAUAAGCGAUGAUUUAAAUCCUGUUGGUGAAGAGAGCACCAAACAAAUGUUAAAAGUGAUAAAAAGACAAAAAGAAGAAGCAGAUGAAAAUGACAAAAAGAACAAACAAGGGGGUGGAUCACUUGUUCGUACAUGCUCGAGUGGUGAUGUCAGUGACAAUAAGAAAGAAAAUAAAAUUGAAGAUAGUAAAGAUGAUAAAAGUAAAAACAAAAAGAAAACAUCAGGAAAAGAAACAGGACAAUUUCGGGACGAGGUUACUAAUACCAAUGNNNNNNNNNNNNNNNNNNNNNNNNNNNNNNNNNNNNNNNNNNNNNNNNNNNNNNNNNNNNNNNNNNNNNNNNNNNNNNNNNNNNNNNNNNNNNNNNNNNNUAAUAGUAAUAGUAAUAGUAAUAAUAAUAAUAAUAGUAAUAAUAAUAGUAAUAGUAAUAAUAAUAGUAAUAGUAAUAAUACCACCAAUAAUAGUAAUAGUAAUAAUACCACCAACAAUAGCAAUAACUGCAGUAAUAACGACUUGGAUAAAAAAGAUAGUGAAGAAGAUUUACUCUAUGAAAAAAUUUUUAAGAAAACAUUUUAUGACAUAAACAAUGAAGAUAAAAAUAAAAGUAUGUACAAUAACUAUAAUUGUCAUUUCCCAAUACAUUUAAGAAGAAAUGGAAUUUACGUUGAUAACAUUUCUGUUUUUAAUAAUUUGAAUAAAGCCAUAUGUAUAUCAACAAAUUUAACAAAAAUGGAAACAAAUAAAAAAAGUACUUUAUAUGAUGAAGGAGUGGAAGCAAAGUUAGAACAUACGCAAUUGAAGGGACAGAAGGAAGUUGAUGGUUCAAACACCCCGGGUAUUGAUACACUUGUGCAUGAUAACAACGAUUAUGCUUAUAAUGGUGUUUAUAAUGAUGGUUUUUAUGAUGAUUAUUAUGAAGAUGAAGAUGAAGAUGAAGAUGAUGAUGAGGAUGAGGAUGAAGAUGAAGAUGAGGAUGAAGAUGAGGAUGACGAUGGAUAUGAUUAUGGAGAUGAUUAUGAAAAUGAGGACGAUGAAGAUGAUGAUGAAAAUAAUAAUAUAGAUUAUGACGACUCGAAUUACAGUGAAGAUGAAAAAGAGGAAGGCAAUAAAUCGAAUUCCCUAAGUAAUUUAAAAAAAAAAAAUUACAACCGUGCAAGCAGCAGUGGAAAGAACCGUGCAAGCAGAAGUACAAAUAGAAGUACAAAUAGAAGUACAAAUAGAAGUACAAAUAGAAGUACAAAUAGAAGUACAAAUAGAAGUACAAAUAGAAGUACAAAUAGAAGUACAAAUAGAAGCACAAAUAGAGGCACAAAUAGAGGCACAAACAACCGUACAAACAAUCGUACAAACAACCGUACAAACAACGCAAUAUAUAAAAAAUCGAAUACAGAUAAUAUUACCAUGACUGGUGGAAAUGCAACGACGAAAAGUGGCAAAAUAGAAAAAGUUAGUAACGUCAAAGAUAUUUUAAUAAGUGAUUACAUUACAAAAUAUAUCACCGGAAUGAAAAAUAAAUCUAACGUUUUUCGAGAAAAUAAAACAGAUAAAUUUACAAAUAUACAAGGUUUUUUUAAUAUUUUUGAAUCUUUUUACAAAGUUGAAAAUAAUAUAAAAAAACAUAUUAACAGGAAUAGAGGUUCAUUUUUUAAACGCUAUACAAAAAGUGGAUAUCUAUACAACGGUGAGGAGAAUGAAGAGGGUAUCGUUGUACUAUCAAUAAAUGGAAUAGACAUACAUAGAGAUUCUUGUAUUUCUGAAUAUUUAGUAAAGCUUAACGAUUUAUAUUAUUUGAAUAAAAAUAAUAUUUGUGUAAAAGAAGAAGACAUGUAUUAUAAUACAGAAAAUUUUUUUAUAUAUAAUGAUGUGGUUGAUACUUUUGCAUUUAAUUUUAUUUUUAUGAAAAUUAAAAUUAAAUGUUUAUGGAAUGGUAGCAGUAGUAACAACAGUAGUAUAAAUAGUAACAAUAGUAAUAUUGGAUAUUAUGGUUAUUACACAAGGGAAAAUGCGCAUAACAUAAAUUAUAAAAUUAUAAAAAAAAAAGCAAACUAUGGUGAACGAUUUGGUACAGAAAAUUUAUAUAAUUAUGACGCAUUGGCUGCUAAGGGUAAUGUGCAUAUAGUCAUGAAAAAAAAGAAAGUAAGUAGUGGUGGUGGUGGUAGUGGUGGUAGUGGUGGUGGUAGUGGUGGUGGUAGUGGUGGUGGUGUACAUGUGAAAGGUAGUCAUGCAAGUGUCAACAGUAAUAUAAGUUGUGCAAAUACAGGAGUUAGUAAUGUAAAUACUUCAAAUACAGGUGUUAAUAAUGCAAAUACUAGAUUAGUUACCACUGCUCUGACAAGUACAAAUGUUAACUCUGCUUUGAAUAACUACAAUUUUAGCUAUAACAAUACUAAUUAUAAUGCGAACUAUAAAAACAAUUUUAAUAAAUUUAAUUAUUAUUAUCCUAGUUAUAAUAACAUUUAUUAUAAGGAAAGCGAUAGAAAAGGUGAAAACGACAUGGUUGACAUAGUGAAUGUGGAAGACGACAUAUAUACAUAUGUAGACUCCAUAACUUAUAAUAAAAUUAAAAGUAGUAUAGAUACACCAUUAUGUUGUAAAAGUAUUAAUGAGAAGUAUAGCACUUAUAACAUAUCUGUUGACUUAAUAAAUUAUGUAUAUAGCUCUAACGAAUUGGAAAGGUUAUGUUCUGAGAGUGUGACUGAUGGUUUUGAUGAUAAUACAACUUGUAAUACUAUUAUGCAGGAUGGAAAAGAGAAAAAUUUAAAUUUUUUUCAAAUAUUAAAACGUUGUUUAAAUAAUAAAUCAAACAUUAAAAAAAAGUGCACCAGUGAUAAUAAAAAAUGGGAAGAAGUAAGCUAUUCCGAUUUGAAUGAUUUAAAAAAUAAGAAUAAUGUUAUUAACGGUGGUAAUAUAUGCAAAGAGACCAGCACAGAUAAUAUAAUAGAAGAAAGUUUAUAUAUGCAAGAAAACAUGUGUAAUAUACAAGAGGAUGAUAACCCAAAUGUUAUGUUUUUAAAUGAGUAUGUAAAAGAUGUUUAUAAAAAUAAUAAAGUAAUAGACUUAUCAUUGUCAGAAAAUUAUAAGAAUCGUGUUGAACAAGAUUCUAUGUAUUUAUAUAAUCAUUUAAAGACAGAGAUGAAGAAAGUAACAGAACUAGUAUUGUUAGAAGACCAUUACAUUAACAAAGAUGUUAUGCUUAGUACUUAUGUGCAUAACUCUAAUUUUAUAAGAGGUGAACUUAACGAUCGUAGUAGUAGUGGUGGUGGUGGUGGUGGUGAUGGUGAUGGUAGUAGUAGUAGUAAUAGUAGUAGUAAUAACGGUAGCUGCGAAAACGGAAUAAUGAAAAAUAUACAGAAUUGUAGACAAAAAGAAAAAAUGUUGUAUAAAAUGGUAAACUUUGGUGUGUUGUGUAACCUUACAGGAGUUGAACAGACAAACAAUACAUUUGUGAGUAAUAUAGAAGAAAAUGCUUGUAACAACUUUUCGAAUAGUAACAAGCGAUUGUUAGAAAAGGACGAUGUAUAUUUAUUGUUUAAUUAUAUGCCUAUGUAUAAUGAUAUAGUUAAAAAUUAUAGUAUAGUUGAAGAAGUGGCAUCAGAUCCUUCUUCGGAAUUGGUUACCAUUUACCAAAAUACAGAAGGAACAUGUGACAUUAAGAGGGGUAGUAGCAAUAAUGACGUAAUAUGUAAUAAAAUAAACUGUGUAAAUAAAAAAAAAAAGAAAAAUAAAGGAAGUGAUAUAUUUUUCGAAAAUAUGUACAAUUUUUUGCUAUAUAAAUUAUUAUUUUUAUUAUAUAAAUAUUUUAAAAUGUGUGAUACUCCAUCUUUUUUAAAUUUUUACCUGAACAAUGAUGUUGAAGAUAAUAUGAUGGUAACGGGUUUUAAUUAUGAUGAGUGCAUAAAUGUGUUAAAUGAAUCGACAAAAGAAGAAAUGGUUACUAUUCAGGAAUUAUUUUUAAGUGGUGUAUCUUCUACUGGUUGUUAUGAUGACAAUAAUGUUACAAAUCCAAAUGAAAAAAUGUUUGAAGUUACAAUAAACGAAAUAAAAAAAGAUGAUUUUUUAAUUAACAGUAUAAAUAACAAAAUAAUGUAUUAUUUGAAUAACCCAUUACUGAUAUUUAGUGAGAAGUUGCCUUCAUGGGUAUAUAAAAUAUUUUAUCAAUUUAAUUUUGUUAUAGAUAUUGAUAUAAGGUUAGUGUUUUUUGAGUUAUUAUAUUUUGGUAACUAUAGAGGUUUAUAUAAUUAUAAAAAUAAAAUAAAAGAAAUAGUAGAAAAAUUUAAUGAUAAAAUAACUAUUGAUUAUAAAAUGUUAACAGAUGAACAUUUAUUAUCUGUUUGUUCAAAUUAUACAUAUAAUAGUGAUAAAAAGAAUCUGUUUCAAUUUUUACAUGAUACUACUACAUUAACAUUACCGAAAACGAAAAUACGAUUACAAAGGAAUAAAAUGAUAGAUGCAUCUUUCCGUAUAUUUAAUCAUUUACAUAUUACAAAUUCUAAUCAAAUAACACCUCCUUAUCUUGAUAUUGAGUUUUUUAAUGAGGAGGGUACAGGGUUAGGUCCAUCCUUAGAAUUUUUUACUGAAUUAAUAGAAGAACUAAAAAAAGAGAAACUUAAAUUAUUUAAACUUGAAAAUAAUUAUCUUUUUCCAUUGCCAUAUAAAGUAGAUUUAAAUAAUUUUGAUUUUGAUUUAUUAAAAAAACCAACAUCAGAUGAGUUAUUAGGAGCAAACAGUAGUAACACUAAUAACACAAGUACAAGUUCUUCUGGUAAUAGUGGUAGUUAUAGUACUAGUAGUAGUAUUAAUAACAUGCAUAAUACUGGAACUGUUACUAAUAGUGGUGUUACAAGUGCGACUACUGCAAGUGCGACUACUGCGAGUGCGACUACUGCAAGUGCUACUACUACUACUACUACUACUACUACUACUACUACUGCUAGUAAUAAUAGUAAUAAUAGUAAUAAUAAUAGUAAUAGUAGUAACAUACUUAAUAGCUAUUUACAGCAUAGUUAUGCGUAUCCAGGCAGUACUACUUAUACUAAUAGUAGCAGUAGCAUUAAUAAUAAUAAUAGUAGUAGUAAUAGUUAUACAAAUAGAUAUAAUAACUACAGCAGUAACAAUAAUAACAACAACGUGGCGUAUAGCACAAGUAACUAUAAUAACACCUACGAAACUUCAAGAGCUAAUAACAAAAGAUUGAAUAUAAUUAAUAAUGAGAAUCAAACGAACUUAAACCCAAAUCUGUCUGUUAAUAACAUCUUUAACCAUUUUAUUUUUUCAAUGAAUGCAAAUUUAUUUCCAAAAAAUAAUGAAAAUGUAGAAGAUGAAACAUAUGACAAUUUAUCUGAGGUAGAUUACUUAGAUGAUAGUAAGUUUGUAGGUAAAAAAGGUAAGAUGUAUUAUGUAGAUAGUUUUAAAAAAAGUAGUAGAAAAAAGGAUAACAACAGUAAUAAUAAUAAUAAUAAUAAUAACAAUUAUAAAAAGAAAAGUUCUUUAUGUGAUGAAAAUAAGACUCAAGCAGUUGUUGGUAAUAAUAAAAAUAAGAAAAAAAGUAAAAUAAAAAACAAAAAGAAGGUGAAACAGGAGAAAUCGAAUAGUGAAACAGAAAAUGCGAACGAGUUGGAAAAUGAGAAUGAGUUGAAACAGGGAAAUGAUGUGAGUAAAAAGAAGAAAAGCGGAAAAAACAAUUUUUUUGUAGAAGAAAUGGAAAUUAAAGAAAAAUGCAAAUCGAAAACAGAAAAAAAAAAAAAAAAAAAAAAUACCACUACUGCUUCUUCCAUUACUGUCACAGGUUCCACUACUUUAGACAAAGAUGAGGCAUAUUAUACAGCCAAAAGUGGUACUCAAGAAAGCGAAAAAAAAACAUUUACAUCUUAUAAAACACCUAAAAAAGGUAGCAUCAAAUCUGAAAAUAUAAAAAAUAAAAAAGUGAAUGAUGAGGAUGAACAUGUAGAAAGGAAUAAAAAAAAAAGAAUGAGAUGUUUUGUGGAGGAAGAAGAAGAAGAAGAAGAGGAAGAUGAAGAGGAAGAGGAAGAGGAAGAGGAAGAAGAAGAUGAUGGUGGUAGUGAGUUAUAUGAGGAAGAAAAUAAAAAAUCGAACAAGAAAAAAACUACCGUAAAAGAACAUGUCAAGGUGGGAUCAAGAAAGAAGAAGGUAGAGAUUUCAUGUAGGGCUGCAGAUAGUGUGACCGAGAAAGAAGAGGAAGAAGAAGAAGAAGAAGAAGAAGAAGAGGAAAAGGAAGAGGAAGAAAAAGAGGAAGGUGAUAAUGAUGAGGAGGAUGCAGAAUAUGUAUAUGAUUAUGACGAUGACGACGAUGACGACGAUGAUGACGAUGAUGACGAUGAAGAUGAGGAUGAAGAUGAAGAUGAAGGUGAGGAUGAAGAUGAGAAUGAAUAUGAGAAUGAAGAUGAGAAUGAAGAUGAAGAAGAUGAUAAUGAAGAUGAAGAAGAUGAGAAUGAAGAUGAAGAAGAUGAUUAUUAUGACGAUGACAAUUAUGAAGAUAGCGAUUAUGACGAUUAUUAUUAUGAAGACGUCGAAGAUGAAAAUGUUCAAAUUGAAGAGAAAGAAAAGGAAGAUGAUAAUAAUAAUGUACAAAAAGGUAUGGUAAAGAACAAAAACAAAAAGGAUGAAAAAGGAACAAGUAAAUUGCACCUUUCAGGAAAUAAAGGUGAUGUAGACGAUAAUUUAACGAAGCGUUGCUCUAAUUCGGCUACUGAUAAAUACAUUAUUGCUUCAGAUAACUAUAGCGGAACAAUAAAAAAAGGGGAAAAAAAAAUGGGCAUAAAAGAAGAAAAAAUCGAAAGGAGCGAAAAAAGUGUAAAGAGUGAAAAAAAAUAUGGAUCCCACAUCACAGAAGAUAAACAUGUAAAUGAUAAAACAGCAAAUGAUGAAAGUACAGAAAAAAAAAAAAAAAACAAUGACGAUAGACUUAAUAAAAAAAAAGCAAAUACUGAAAAAGUAGCUGAUAAGGAUAGAUACAAAACUCAGAAUGUAGUCAAAACAAAUAUAGGUGAUACUAAUAUUACUACAGAUAUAAAAAAUGUAUCUGUAAAAAAAUAUAAAUUAUUUACUAAAGAUUUCGAAGACCACUUAUUAAAGGAAGACAACAAUAUACAAUUGAGCCUCCCAAACAAUAGUAGUAAUUCUACAACAUCUAGGGUUACGGGUGCAUCUACAACUACAGCUGCCGCUACUAGUACAGCUGCAACUACAAAUACAGCUGUAACUACAAAUACAGCUGCAACUACAAAUACAGCUUCAACUACAAAUACAGCUGCAACUACAAAUACAGCUGCAACUACAAAUACAGCUGCAACAACAACUGUAACUACAACUACGGCUACAACUACGGCUACAGCCAAUUCAUCUAAAAAGACAAAUAUAAAUAAAAAUAUGAAAUUAAAACAAGUGCUUACUCCAAAUGUAAUUAACUCAAUUUUCAAUGAAAUCGAAAAUGAAGUAUUGGGUGGAAAAAAAAAAGUUGAUAAGAGCACGACUCAAAAAGAUACAGAUAUAGGAGAAAAGGACAAGAGUGGAGGUGGUGAUAAUAACAUAAAUAAAAAAAUGAAUGGAAAAAAUAAGAAAAAAAUUAAAAGUAGUGAAAAAGAUACCUUAGAAAAUAGACUAUUUAAAUACUUUAAGUUGUUGGGACAACUUUGUGCGAAGAUUCUAUCAGAUAAUAGGAAUAUUCAUAUAAAUUUACAUCCAUUGUUUUGGUAUUUAGUUAUGAAUAAUUCAGAAUACAUCAACAUAUCUAAACUGUAUCAUUAUGGAGCAAUUGAUAAAGUAAAUAUGAACAGUAUAAACAAAUUAUUAGAGUAUAGAAAAGAAAACAAAAAUGUUGAAGAUUUACAUAUCGAUUUUACACUAUUAGGAAGUGACCCACCAAUUGAACUUAUACCAAAUGGAUCUAACAUUUUAGUUAAUAAUGACAAUUUAAAUCUGUUUAUAAAUAAAACUAUCGAAUAUUCGUUAUAUGAUGGAAUUAAAUUUCAGGUAAUGUAUUUAUAUGCUUCCUGCAUGCAUGCAUGUAUGUAUGUAUGUAUGCAUGUAUGCAUGUAUGCAUGUAUGUAUGUAUGUUUGCAUGUAUGUAUGUAUGUAUGUAUGUAUG